CAGGGCUUAGCUUCAUACUCUGAAGGCAAAAAAUAAGGAUUUUCUAUGAAAAGGGGGGGGAAAGCAUAGCAAAAUUUUUGAUGUUCUCCCUUGCUGCUCAUACUCUCUCUGCCUUAUCUCUGUUUGUCUUGAGCUUUGCUGUUAUGUUACUGCAGCUCGGACUUCGUUGAUAGAGAGUUGACUUAAAAAUAGAGGCUCCUGGUGGGCUGUGGAUGGGAUUCUCUUUUGCAAGAACUUUGGAGGCUAAAGUCAGAAUCCAAAGCGAUCUUGAAAUGGAGAAGCGGGCUCAAGCAUCGAACAGGGGUGGGCUGUGCCUGUGCUUUUGAGGUGCUCAACCUGUGGUCUCUGGGUGGGACCGUAGCCUGGAUCCCCACAGUGCCCGAGUUGUGUGUAUGAAGAGCAGCUUCAUCCCCCUGCUUGCCUCCCACCAGUGGCGAAGGGGCAACUGGCUGGUGGAAAUUGAUGGGAUUUGCUGGACUUUGUGCUUCUGAUAAUGCUGAGUAAAAGUGAAGAAGAGCUGCUGCCAGAGUUUCAUUUCCCUGCCACAUUUAACUGUUGCAACUGAAUGCAAGCCAGAUUUCCAAGGAGAAGAAGAGCGGUGAGCUCUGUAUUUGCAAGACGGGAGCACACAAAUACAGCAGAGGAGGGCAGUGAUGCAUCACCUGACGGGGGCUCCCCUUCCAGCAAAGAGUGAGCAGGGCAAGUGGACUGAACGUCCGUCCUCUAGGUUUGAAUGGCUGUCCCCUGUGAACUGGCCGUGAAUAAACAGCUUGAGAAUUAGUCAUUCUGUAUGAAAUUCUUCUCCACACAAGAGGCUUAAAUGGGAGCAAAGUGAUGUCCUAGCGUCAGCACUCCUGCCCACAGAAGGGACAAGGUGUUAUCUAAGCACUGCACUGAUGAGCCAGACACCAGGUUGUGUGGAGAGGAGCCAGCUACCCCAUGCCUGGGAUUGGACACGGCAGACUGCUUGUGCUGAGGUUAGUUAAUGCAGUGCUGCUUCCCUGGAUGUGUCUGAUCUGACUUCCUUUCCUCGGCAGGGUUUGGCAGGUAGAGCACUGCACCAGGACUCGGGCAAGCGGUGAGAAAACUCACUGCUAGAUGACUUAAGGCAGUAAAUAAAUAAUGGUGCUUACCUCCUACACAAAGCACACUGAGUGAAAGUGAGACAUAAGGGGAUUAUUAGAUGGUAUGACUACAUGGAUUUUAAUAAUUAUCACGUUGAAAGCUUUCUGUGGUUGGUCGGGACAGACUCCACCUGCCUGGGCUCUGUCUGCUGGCAGAGGUCAAGCAGCAGGUAUGGAGAGGAGCAGCGAGUCACUCUGCGGAUGAGCUGCCGUAGGCCUUUCAGAGAAGUAUUGCUACAUUUAAAUCGUGG